AUUAGUUUUUUAAUUGAAGGCUAGAAUGAAUGGUUGGACAAGAAAUAAUCUGUCUUAAUUAAAUAAAUUGAAUUUAACUUUUAAGUGAAAAGGCUUAAAUAAUCUAAAGGGACGAUAAGACCCUAUAAAACUUUAUAUUUAAUAAUAGUAAUUAAUUUUAUUUUAAGAGUAUUAUUUGAAAAUAUUUGGUUGGGGUGACAAGGAUAAAAUAUAAAAUAACUGUCUUUUUUUAUUACAAUAAUAUUUGGUUUAAUGAUCCUAAAAUGGAUUAAAGAUUAAGUUACUUUAGGGAUAACAGCGUAAUUUUCUUUAAGAGUUCGUAUCGACAAGAAAGUUUGCGACCUCGAUGUUGAAUUAAAAGUUCUUUA
rnacentral:rRNA from 1 species